rnacentral:rRNA from 1 species
UACGUAGGGUGCGAGCGUUGUCCGGAAUUACUGGGCGUAAAGAGCUCGUAGGUGGUUUUUCGCGUUGUCCGUGAAAACUCACAACUCAAUUGUGGGCGUGCGGGCGAUACGGGCAGACUGGAGUACUGCAGGGGAGACUGGAAUUCCUGGUGUAGCGGUGGAAUGCGCAGAUAUCAGGAGGAACACCGGUGGCGAAGGCGGGUCUCUGGGCAGUAACUGACGCUGAGGAGCGAAAGCGUGGGGAGCGAACAGG